ensembl:lncRNA
ACAAAAGUUAGACGCUGUUGUUUACAGUGAAGUUUUCCUCACUGGAUGGGACUUCGUCCCUAUUUAUUUUGCAUUGAUAUGGACUGCUCACUACAACAUUAGCUGCUGCAUGCUUCAUAAUGAGACUGGACUGUUCAUGGGUAAGGAGAUAAUGUGUGCUGGGAGUUGAAAGCUGUACUACUGAUGGCAGGAAGAUUAGCCCUCAGCUAGCAUCUGCUGGAAAUCCUCUUUUCACUGAGGAAGACUGGCCCUGAGCUAACAUCCAUGCCCAUCUUCCUCUACUUUAUACGUGGGACACCUACCACAGCAUGGUUUGCCACGCAGUGCCAUAUCCCCACCCAGGAUCUGAACUGGUGAACCCCGGGGCGCCGAAGCAGAAUGUGCUCACUUAACCGCUGUGCCACUGGGCCGACCUGUCAAUUUCUUAUCUAUCUAUUUGGUUCCAUUGGCCAACCUUUCGCCUGUGCUACUUUCUCCUGAUUACUGCAGCUUUAGAGUGGCUGUGAAAAUCAAGUCAUAAGGGUCCUCCAACAUCUUCUCCUUGUAAAAAAUUAUUUUGGCUAUGCAAGUUCCAUUGCCUUUGCACAUUAAUUUAAAAGUGCUAGUAAUCUUUGAUGUUCCAUAACUAGUAGAAGCAUCACCCUGAUCUCUGCCUUUAUCUUUACAUGUGUUCUCCCUGUGUGCAUGUCAGUGACCAAAUUUCCCUUUUUGAUAUACAAACCAGUCAUACGGGAUUAGAAGUCCACCCUACUCCAGAAUGACUUCAUUUUAACUUAUUACAUCUGCAAUGAUCCUGUUUCUAAUGAGAGUCACAUUCUGAAGUACUGGGAGUUAGGACUUCAACAAAUAAAUUUGGCGUUGGGGGCACAGUUUAACCCAUAACACUCUUCUUCCAGGAAUCAAGUUACAUGUAUGUUAAGCUAUGUGAUGUGAUCUAACAUGUACCUGAAUUAAAAUUUUUUUCUAAGUGACAACUUUGACGUAUUUUCAAGGUCACUGCUUCUUCUCUCAUCACCCUUCCCCUAGACGCUAGUCAUUUUUUUAAAAUUUCAGAUAUUGCAUGUUUUCAUAUCUUUAAUUUUCAUAGGUUACCUUUUAUUGUUUCUAUCCUGCUAGUGAUGUUUCCUACAUUUCUAAUUUUUAAAAAUAUAGAUAUGUUUUAUAAAGAUAUAUAUAGACUUUAUAAAUACGUAUCUUCUUUACUUUGAGAGUCUUAAUAUUAGCAGUUUUAAAAUCUUUAUCAUCUGCUUCAUCUUAGGUUUAGUUUCAGUUGAUUGCCUUUGUUUUUGAAAAUGAGUCCCAAAUUACAGAUUCUUUAUAUAUCAGGUAAUUUUGGAGUGUAUCCUAGACAUCAUCCAUGUUAAGUUAUGGGACUCUGGAUUUAUUUGUGUUCCUGGUGUUAUUUGUUUUAGCAAACUUUUUAUUUAUUUAGAUGCAAACUGUGCACUCUGUGUUUUGGGUAGCCACUCGUGAAGCCAAUCAUCAAGUUUUCUCUUUAGCUGAAUGGUUUUAUUCUGUUCUGUAAAUGCAUGGUUCAGGGGUCAGCCAGAUACAUGGAAAGACAUAAUUUGGGUGCCCUCUUUCUGUCUCUUUC